rnacentral:rRNA from 1 species
GUCUACAGCCAUGCUACCCUGAACAAGCCCAAUCCUGUCUGAUCUGGGAAGCUAAGCAGGAUUGGGCCUGGUUAGUACUUGGAUGGGACAUCACCUAGGAAGACCAGGUUUGUUAGAUG